rnacentral:snRNA from 1 species
UUGCUUCAGCAACACAUAUACUAAAAUUGGAACGACACCGAGAAGAUUAGCAUGGCCCCUGAGCAAGGAUGACACGCAAAUUCAUGAAGCCUUCCAUAUUUUU